GAUGAACGCUGGCGGCGUGCCUAAUACAUGCAAGUCGAGCGAACGGACGAGAAGCUUGCUUCUCUGAUGUUAGCGGCGGACGUGUGAGUAACACGUGUAUAACCUACCUAUAAUACUGGGAUAACUUCGGGAAACCGGAGCUAAUACCGUAUAAUCUUUUGAACCGCAUUGUUCAAAAGUGAAAGACGGUCUUUCUGUCACUUAUCGAUGGAUCCGCGCUGCAUUAGCUAGUUGGUAAGGUAACGGCUUACCAAGGCAACGAUGCAUAGCCGACCUGAUAGGGUGAUCGGCCACACUGGAACUGAGACACGGUCCAGACUCCUACGGGAGGCAGCAGUAGGGAAUCUUCCGCAAUGGGCGAAAGCCUGACGGAGCAACGCCGUGUGAGUGAUGAAGGUCUUCGGAUCGUAAAACUCUGUUAUUAGGGAAGAACAUAUGUGUAAGUAACUGUGCACAUCUUGACGGUACCUAAUCAGAAAGCCACGGCUAACUACGUG
rnacentral:rRNA from 1 species